UACGUAGGGGGCAAGCGUUGUCCGGAUUUAUUGGGCGUAAAGAGCGUGUAGGCGGCCAUGUAGGUCCGUUGUGAAAACUCGAGGCUCAACCUCGAGACGCCGAUGGAAACCAUGUGGCUAGAGUCCGGAAGAGGAGAGUGGAAUUCCUUGUGUAGCGGUGAAAUGCGCAGAUAUCAGGAAGAACACCCGUGGCUAAGGCGGCUCCCUAGUACGGUACUGACGCUGAGACGCGAAAGCGUGGGGAGCAAACAGG
rnacentral:rRNA from 1 species